CGUGGAUGCUCCCUCUGCUGCACUCCCUUCCGUCGCUGCAAGCCCGUAACCCCUUCCGCCGCCGCCCCUUUUCCUCGGUCGAAGGAAACCCUUCUGCCACUACUGGUUUUCUUUUACUCCGUCAGUGCUUAUUUUGAAAAAGGUAAUUUUGGGCGUGACCCUAAAUUACAGAGGAAUGCUUUGAACCGGGCUGCUCCCUUCCCCUAAUCAAGCUGUUUCGAACCUAAUGACUCUGGUGUGAGGAUCCAAAUGACUCUGUCUUUCACUCUCAGCCUCAGUGCAGAGGCUGAGAGGUGCAGGUUUGAACCAGCGGAUCUCCAAGUUCAAAGAUCACCAGCACAUUCUCGAAGAAGAGUUUCAACGUCUCAGCGAGGAUGUGGUAGGUUUGAAUUAGUUUUCUAUAAUAUGUUUGAUUUUAUCCUAAUGUAUUCUUUCAAUAAAUAUGAUUAACUAGAUGAUUACUUAUUUCUUUAGUCUGAUUUGAACAAUGUAAAACAUAAUGCUCUGCGAGAGGCUUUAGUUUAAAAUCAGUAAAUGUUAUUUAGCC